UUUUUUUUUAAUUGAGGGUAUAAUUUGUAAAUUAUAAUGAUUUAGAAAGUAAAAAAGGUAAGGAAAAAAAGAAAGAAAGAAAAAGGAAAAUGUGGAGGUGAGUUAUAUUGGCAUUUGCCGUUUUGUUCUCAAUUCUCUCUCUAUUUGUAAUAUAUAAAAAACGGGAAUCGCCACAUUAUCCUCCGCCCCACUACUCUCCUCUCCUUCUUCAAACCAUUUGGAUUUUGAUCAGUGCUUCCACACAAAUUCCCCUCCUUUUGGAGAAGGAGAAUUCGACCAUCCAUCAAUGGCGUCUUCCAAUCCUACUACUAGGGCUUUCAAAGCUCUCUUCACCAUCUUCUCUCUCAUCUUCUUCAUUCUUUCUCCACUCGUUGACGCCGCAGCACCUGCUCCCGCUCCCGCUCCCGCUCCUUCUAGCGACGGGACCUCCAUUGAUCAGGGGAUUGCGUACGUUUUGAUGCUAGUGGCGUUGGUUCUCACGUAUCUAAUUCACCCUCUCGAUGCAUCUUUCUUACAAUUUUUUUCUGAAUUGAAUUGAAUUCUUCUUCCUAGGAUUGUAGCAAUGUAGGCGUUGUUUGUGGACGUUUGAGAAGGAACGAGACCCAUUUUUUCUUCUCUCUUUUUGUGAUAAAAUCAAAAGUGUAUAUUUGGGUUCCACAGAUUUUGAUCAAUUGCUCCAUUUAAUUCAUUGUUUAUUCGGUUA